GUCCCCGUCGAUUAGUGGUUAGAUCAUCACGUUGUGGUUUCCCUGUCUUGUGGAUAGUAAAUUUAGCAACCGUGGAGACGCAGGCUCGACUCCUGCCAGGGACA